UACGGGGGGGGCAAGCGUUGUUCGGAAUUACUGGGCGUAAAGGGCUCGUAGGUGGCCAACUAAGUCAGACGUGAAAUCCCUCGGCUUAACCGGGGAACUGCGUCUGAUACUGGAUGGCUUGAGUUCGGGAGAGGGAUGCGGAAUUCCAGGUGUAGCGGUGAAAUGCGUAGAUAUCGGGAGGAACACCGGUGGCGAAGGCGGCUUCCUGGACUGUCCCUGACGCUGAGGCGCGAAAGCCAGGGGAGCAAACGGG
rnacentral:rRNA from 1 species